CUCGGAUCAGAAUGCUGUUUCCCCAUGCUCUUCCAAGGCUCAUUGAGCACUGACCCCAGCUCUGCUCAUGCCCCACACAGGUCACCCUCUGGGUAGCCCACUGUGUGGAUUCCAUGAAGCAUGCCCUUCUCCCACACAGUCAUCAGCAGUAUCAAUGACCUCCCUCUUCCCAGCUCCAUCAAAGCCAGCCCUGGAAUUAUUAAAGAAAGUCUGACUCCAAGGCAGCCUUUUCUUUCCUCUGCUGAGUGAUUUUCAUUCCUUACAAGAGGAGUUAUCUACAAGCAACAUCGUUCCUGAGGCCAACUGGUCCUCAGUGUCACUUGAGCAUCUGCUGUAUUGUCCUCCUCCUGUGUGGGUCACCGUUGUUGUCUGUCUCUGCAGUCACCAUGGUCUCCUGUCUGAACAGCCCCUCCACCUGGAGCUCUUUGUUUUCCAACUCAGCCACUGUUGACAGCAUAGGCACCUUUGUCUGACACCAUCCAAGCCUUCUUCCACUUGCAGUGUUGUGCUGACUCCAGCAAUGACAGACAUCAGUUAAAGUGAUUCUGAGUCUGGGAAGAGAAGAGAGCAUGGGGAGAGCUGAGAAGCGCCAGCUCUGGAGAGGUCAGUUUU
rnacentral:lncRNA from 1 species